AGGAAAAGCAAUUGGCUUGUACUCCAGCAGUAACAUGGAGAAAGGUCUUUAAAGCCUAGAAGAGAGAGCGCUGCUGUGCCCCGGGAUGGAGUCGUUUGCUUGGUUUCCUUGGCACAAGGACCACCAUCUCUCUCCAGUGCCCUGAAGGGCAUCAUGUAGGUUAGGUGGCACCAGCUGAAGAUCCGCAGACCUCAACCAGCACACCUGCAUUCGCAGAAUGAGUGAAGCCCAUUUGGGUGUCUGUCUUAGACAAAAGUCAGAAGCAGAAUCAGUGCGCUCAGCAUCACUGUCUCUAUAAUAUUAGUAUGUGUGUGCUGGGGGACAGAUCUUCAACUGGCAUAAAUCAGUGCAGCUCUACUUCACAUGGGGAUCAAAAAUGGAUUCAUGGGAACACAGGACUGGACGGGACCUCCCAGCCAGUGAGUCAAGUCUCCUCUAUUUGCAGAAAAAUUAUCUGGAUAUAAAUUCACAGCACAGCAGUUCUAGCAACAGGAGAUUUCCUGCUCAUACUUCUGCCUCUGACCACUGACCCAAACUCUCGAGCCACCAUGCAACAGUGAACAUGAGCGUGCUGAGUUCCUACUUCUACACGGUCUGAAGCCCAUGAGGUUUUUGCCACAGGUUUCCAAAGAGGCAAAAUCUAACCCUGAAUCUCUUUUUCAGAGACAUGAGAGCUUUAUAAAUUAGACCAAAUAGCUGUGCCACAGGCGAAGAGUUCAUCUAUGUGUUAACGAGUGUAUUGGACUAGUAUGCAAAUGCCUCGUAAGCAUAAUAGACCCACUUUCUGCUCCAAGAAGUUCACUGAUUAGAUCAGAUGGGACCAAAACAGCGCAAAUAUAUACAAGGAGAUCAGAUGAGGCCCAAGCGGUGGGGGAAUCUUGCAGAAUCAAUCAAUGAAAGACUCUUUUUUUUUGGAUGUGGUGAGUUUUAGCCACAAGGCCAACUAAUAGCAUUGGUUUCAGGAGGCCAGACGUGCACUGUGCAGAUCCUCACACCACUCUGCCAAGGCUCCUCCGUUCUCGCCCUCAACACUUCUAUUAUUCCCCUGCAAGCGCUGCCAGUUGGCUUGAUGAGAGGGGCAUCUAUAAACAGCCAAGUUCUUCCCUCCGUUAUACUUGGCACCAUCAUAGACCCAGGAGGACCUGCUCGGGUGUAACUAAGGGCAGAAUGUGGCUCUCUGCCCAAUAUGAACUAAGGCAAGACCACCAAAUGUAGUUUAUACAUGAAGUUUGAAUCCAGACCUCUACCAAGUGAGAUGAUGUAGUUUAAUGCUUCUGAUUUUUACUGCGAAAGCCUGGCUCUUUAUUUGGGCAUAACAUUAUAUUGUGCAUGAAGCUUUGCAAUCCUGCCAGAGAGGAUGGAAAUA